rnacentral:rRNA from 1 species
UACGAAGGGUGCAAGCGUUGUUCGGAUUUACUGGGCGUAAAGGGCAUGUAGGCAGUUAGAUCAGUUAGGGGUGAAAUCCCGGGGCUUAACCUCGGAAUUGCCUUUAAGACGGUUUUGACUAGAGAGCUAGAGGGGAUAAUGGAAUACCCAGUGUAGAGGUGGAAUUCGUAGAUAUUGGGUAGAACACCAGUGGCGAAAGCGGUUAUCUGGCUAGCAACUGACGCUGAGAUGCGAAAGCGUGGGGA